rnacentral:tRNA from 1 species
ACCAUUGUAUUAUAGUGGUGAGUAUUCUCAUCUGUCACACGAGUGACCCGGGUUCAAUCCCCAACAACGGCG